ensembl:lncRNA
AACCGUCCUCCGCUUCGCGUCGGACGGUUCACGCCUCCACGUCGUCCAUUAAUUCCUGAUAAUGGACACCUCGUCGGGCAUUAUCCCUUACGUAUUUGAUCUGUGAACCUACCUGUGUAAACUGCAGCCAAGAUCAGGAAAACGAAAACCAGCCGGAAUGUCUUCAUGUUGUUUACCUUUUCUUCCCGAUGCGUUAGUACUUUUAUAAGGACACAAGAUACAUUUAAUUAAAUUAUAUUAUAAUUAAAAUGGCCAUAAUCCCUCGGUAUUCUUUUUCUAACUAUGGCAUCUUUUUUUUUUAUCUCGGUGUUAUGGGUGUCAGUGCAUGGGGGGUAUUCAACCUCCUCGACCUGCAGACAGUGUCAUAAUGUACUACAGCCUUGGGAAGCGAAGGUGAACAACAUGAAGACAUUUGCGCUGGUUUUCGUUUUCCUGAUCUUGGCUGCAGUUUGCACAGGUAGGUUCACAGAACCAAUACAGCAAUAUACUGUAUGUCUAUCAUUUUAGAAUGAAAUGAUAGACAUACAGGUAGAAUAAAAAUUCAGUUGAGAUUGAGCUGCGUUGCUAAGCAGCUCUUCCGCAGCAAGAGGCAGGAACGGCCGGUGUUGUGUCGAGAUCUGUUUCCCCGUCGAGAUGCGUUUCCCCCUAGUCCCCGCCCCCGUCCGAAAUUACCCGAAGGGCGAAGGAAGCGCGCGUACACAAAAAGCUCGCCCACGAGCUGCUGUGCUCGUACCACAGAGGCACUUUGGAGAGAGCUAAGGUUCAAAACUGACUUUUUUUUAGCGAGUUUUAUCUGAAGAUUUGUAACUGAUUUCUUCAAUAAAAAAUAUUAUUUUUGUGAGAGACAUUUCAUUUUGAAUGUUAUGGACUUUUGGAAGGAAGUGUGCUCAUUCAUAAUACUGUCAGAUACUGUUCCCCCUCUGUUCCAUAGGAAAGGAGGCUCACACAUCUUUCAAAUUCAUACUGCUAACUUCUUUCCCCACAACAGAUAAGUCCUGUGAUUUUCAGGCUGAUAUCACCAAAUUUGACCAUUUAGAACAGGGGGAACGCAUCUUGACAGCUUGGAAUAUUACUGUCAGAUACUGUUCCCUCUCUGUUCCAUAGUGAUAUCAGCCUGAAAAUCACAGCACUUAUCUGUUGUGGGGAAAUAAGUCAGCAGUAUGAAUUUGAAAGAUGUGUGAGCCUCCUUUCCUAUGGAACAGAGAAAAAAAAAAUACAUGCAAUAUGAAUGAGUCAAAUCUUACGAAUAUACUUUGCUUGCCAGGAGAUCUGGUGAAUAUACUGUGGCAACCCGGCUUGGUGAGUGAGCCGCCUCCUUCCAAUAAGCACACGAACUGGAGAUUACUUAGAGCAAAAAUGGUACUUUCAUUCAAAAGUAAAUUAUAAAUCUAUCAAACCAAACAUAAAACUCGGCUUUGGAGGAAUCAACAGUCUUUUUCCUCCGGGUGGAAUCCCAUCACCCAUGAGACUGGUCUCUCCGCACACGCGAACCAGGAGAGCCCUGAAUGAGGGUGGAAGCAUGCUUUUUAAAGCAUGCUUCCCACCUGCUCCUCAGGUGCUCCGCAUCUCAAUGAUUGGCACCGAUGUUCUUACUGGCGCCAUCUGUCGGAAAUCUGUGGUACACCGCAUCCACAACCUGCCCCCUUGGCCUCCAGGGGCGCUGUGCCAGAGACGGCUUGCCACAAUACCUAACAAGGACAUUCCUAAGCAAACACGUUGGUGUUUAUUUGGCCGUUCCUGAUGAGCCAAUGAGGGUAAGGAUCACAGAGGUCAAAGGUCGACGGUUGCAUCAUCAGAGGAACAUCUGGAAUUUCAACACAUCUAAGGAUUUUUUAUUCUGUGUACUUUAAAACGUCAAUAUUGUCUGCUUCUUUUAUUUGUGUUUGUCAGAGUCUGCUGACGGAACUCUUUCACAUUUCAAUGGAAAUAAUGAUUUGAUUUUUAUGUUGAUUAUGGUGCAAGGUUGGAUCAAGCUAAUAAUAAAAAAAAGACAAAACAAAUGAUACAUCAAUUAGAUACAUUAUUUACUUUAUGGUGGGAACUUGAACCUAUGUGCUUCUAAUUAUUCAUUAUUGUUCAAGGGUAAAUGUAAGUUUCUUCUAACUUUCAGUGAUCUUCUGAACCAUAGUGAUUUAUUAUAAUUUAUUAAUUAUAAUUCAUUAUAAUAUUAUCAUAAUAUGAUAUAUAUAUAUUAUUAUUUUGUAGUACUAAUACUAGUAGUAUUAGUAUUAUGAUUGCUUCUGCAUCAAUAAUACGUAAAUGCCUAGGCUACUUUUCUUUAAGUUUCAAUAAAUUGGAUCUACCACUGACCAAAUGGAAGAAUAUAGCCUAAGGAAAUGUUUUUUCUUUUGGUUUCAAUCUCUGUGUGCGACGCAGUAAACAUUUAAACUAUCGUCAAACAUUACAAAACCAGAUUUAUACACCGAGACAUUGUCCAGAUCUUCCUGGACCUGAACCGAGACUGGCCGCGAGCAGAAGCGGCCUGGUGACGGCCUAGCGCUGAGCUGGAGGGGACCGCGUCCAGGGGGCGCCCACAACGUGACCCGACGGACGCACGACGACAACGAAGACGACGACGAGGAAUCAAAGACGAGCGCGCGCUUCUAUGUUGGGCUGUUUCCCUUCAGGCCAUCAAGUGAUUCACUAUAGAGUGAUAUCAUCUAAACAUUAAACGCGUAGGCCUAGACCCUCAUAUUCUAGAUGUGUGAUCUCUUAAACUGUCUAUUUGACUCAUGCAUCACAUUGGAAAUGGU